rnacentral:rRNA from 1 species
UACGUAGGUGGCAAGCGUUGUCCGGAUUUACUGGGUGUAAAGGGCGUGCAGCCGGAGAGACAAGUCAGAUGUGAAAUCCACGGGCUCAACCCGUGAACUGCAUUUGAAACUGUUUCCCUUGAGUGUCGGAGAGGUAAUCGGAAUUCCUAGUGUAGCGGUGAAAUGCGUAGGUAUUAGGAAGAACACCAGUGGCGAAGGCGGAUUACUGGACGAUAACUGACGGUGAGGCGCGAAAGCGUGGGGAGCAAACAGG